UACGUAGGUCCCGAGUGUUGUCCGGAUUUAUUGGGCGUAAAGCGAGCGCAGGUGGUUUAUUAAGUCUGGUGUAAAAGGCAGUGGCUCAACCAUUGUAUGCAUUGGAAACUGGUAGACUUGAGUGCAGGAGAGGAGAGGGGAAUUCCAUGUGUAGCGGUGAAAUGCGUAGAUAUAUGGAGGAACACCGGUGGCGAAAGCGGCUCUCUGGCCUGUAACUGACACUGAGGCUCGAAAGCGUGGGGAGCAAACAGG
rnacentral:rRNA from 1 species